UCCGGUUGAUCCUGGCAGAGGUCACUGCUAUCGGGGUUCGACUAAGCCAUGCAAGUCGAGAGGGGUAAAGCCCUCGGCGAACUGCUCAGUAACACGUGGAUAACCUGACCUAGGGUGGAGGAUAACCCCGGGAAACUGGGGAUAAUACUCCAUAGGCUACGGAAGCUGGAAUGCUCUGUAACCCAAAGCUCCGGCGCCCUAGGAUGGGUCUGCGGCCGAUUAGGUUGUUGUCGGGGUAACGGCCCAACAAGCCGAUCAUCGGUACGGGUUGUGGGAGCAAGAGCCCGGAGAUGGAUUCUGAGACAUGAAUCCAGGCCCUACGGGGCGCAGCAGGCGCGAAAACUUUACAAUGCGGGAAACCGUGAUAAGGGGACCCCGAGUGCCUGUACACGCAGGCUGUUCAGGUGUUUAAAACGCAUCUGGGGAAAGGGCCGGGCAAGACCGGUGCCAGCCGCCGCGGUAAUACCGGCGGCUCGAGUGGUGGCCACUAUUACUGGGCUUAAAGCGUCCGUAGCCGGGUCGUUAAGUCUCCCGGGAAAUCCAACGGCUCAACCGUUGGGCGUUCGGGGGAUACUGGCGAUCUAGGGACUGGGGGAGGUGAGAGGUACUCUAGGGGUAGGAGUGAAAUCCUGUAAUCCUUGGGGGACCACCUGUGGCGAAGGCGUCUCACCAGAACAGCUCCGACGGUGAGGGACGAAAGCUGGGGGAGCAAACCGGAUUAGAUACCCGGGUAGUCCCAGCUGUAAACGAUGCGCGUUAGGUGUAUCGGUGACUACGAGUCACCGAGGUGCCGAAGGGAAACCGUGAAACGUGCCGCCUGGGAAGUACGGUCGCAAGGCUGAAACUUAAAGGAAUUGGCGGGGGAGCACCACAACGGGUGGAGCCUGCGGUUUAAUUGGACUCAACGCCGGGAAGCUUACCGGGUAAGACAGCGGAGUGAUAGCCAGGCUGAAGCCUUUGCUUGACCAGCUGAGAGGAGGUGCAUGGCCGUCGUCAGUUCGUACUGUGAAGCAUCCUGUUAAGUCCUGGCAACGAGCGAGACCCA
rnacentral:rRNA from 1 species